rnacentral:rRNA from 1 species
GACGAACGCUGGCGGCGUGCUUAACACAUGCAAGUCGAACGGAAAGGCCCUGCUUUUGUGGGGUGCUCGAGUGGCGAACGGGUGAGUAACACGUGAGUAACCUGCCCUUGACUUUGGGAUAACUUCAGGAAACUGGGGCUAAUACCGGAUAGGAGCUCCUGCUGCAUGGUGGGGGUUGGAAAGUUUCGGCGGUUGGGGAUGGACUCGCGGCUUAUCAGCUUGUUGGUGGGGUAGUGGCUUACCAAGGCUUUGACGGGUAGCCGGCCUGAGAGGGUGAACGGCCACAUGGGGACUGAGAGACGGACCAGACUCCUACGGGAGGCAGCAGUGGGGAAUAUGGCACAAUGGGCGGAAGCCUGAUGCAGCAACGCCGCGUGCGGGAUGAAGGCCUUCGGGUUGUAAACCGCUUUCGCCUGUGACGAAGCGUGAGUGACGGUAGCGGGUAAAGAAGCACCGGCUAACUACGUG